rnacentral:rRNA from 1 species
GUGGGGAAUCUUGCGCAAUGGGCGAAAGCCUGACGCAGCCAUGCCGCGUGAAUGAUGAAGGUCUUAGGAUUGUAAAAUUCUUUCACCGGGGACGAUAAUGACGGUACCCGGAGAAGAAGCUCCGGCUAACUUCGUGCCAGCAGCCGCGGUAAUACGAAGGGGGCUAGCGUUGCUCGGAAUUACUGGGCGUAAAGGGCGCGUAGGCGGACAGCUUAGUCAGAGGUGAAAGCCCAGGGCUCAACCUUGGAAUUGCCUUUGAUACUGGCUGUCUUGAGUUUGGGAGAGGUGAGGGGAACUCCGAGUGUAGAGGUGAAAUUCGUAGAUAUUCGGAAGAACACCAGUGGCGAAGGCGACUCACUGGCCCAAUACUGACGCUGAGGCGCGAAAGCGUGGGGAGCAAACAGGAUUAGAAACCCGAGUAGUCC